rfam:Heterocephalus glaber contig238466, whole genome shotgun sequence.
UAGAAUAUAGUGUAUUAGGUUGCACAGAGAAUUUUGAGUUCUUUGGGGUAGGUUCAAAUCCUAUAAUUCUAG